UGGGGAAUUUUGCACAAUGGGGGAAACCCUGAUGCAGCGACGCCGCGUGAUUUAGAAGGCCUUCGGGUUGUAAAAAUCUUUUCUAUGGGAAGAAAAUGACAGUACCAUAGUAAUAAGGACCGGCUAAUUACGUGCCAGCAGCCGCGGUAAUACGUAAGGUCCGAGCUCUGUCCGGAAUCAUUGGGCGUAAAGGGUACGGAGGCGGGUAAGCAAGUUAGAAGUGGAAUCCUAUAGCUCAACUAUAGUAAGCUUUUAAAAGUGAACAUCUUGAGGUAUGGAAGGGAAAGUGGAAUUCCUUGUGUAGCGGUGAGAUGCGUGGAUAUAAGGAGAAAUACCGGUGGCGAAGGCAAGUUUCUGGCCAUAACCUGACGCUGAGGUACGAAAGCGUGGGUAGCAAACAGG
rnacentral:rRNA from 1 species